AGGGAGCUUGCUCCCGGAUGUUAGCGGCGGACGGGUGAGUAACACGUGGGUAACCUGCCUGUAAGACUGGGAUAACUCCGGGAAACCGGAGCUAAUACCGGAUAGUUCCUUGAACCGCAUGGUUCAAGGAUGAAAGACGGUUUCGGCUGUCACUUACAGAUGGACCCGCGGCGCAUUAGCUAGUUGGUGGGGUAAUGGCUCACCAAGGCGACGAUGCGUAGCCGACCUGAGAGGGUGAUCGGCCACACUGGGACUGAGACACGGCCCAGACUCCUACGGGAGGCAGCAGUAGGGAAUCUUCCGCAAUGGACGAAAGUCUGACGGAGCAACGCCGCGUGAGUGAUGAAGGUUUUCGGAUCGUAAAGCUCUGUUGUUAGGGAAGAACAAGUGCGAGAGUAACUGCUCGCACCUUGACGGUACCUAACCAGAAAGCCACGGCUAACUACGUGCCAGCAGCCGCGGUAAUACGUAGGUGGCAAGCGUUGUCCGGAAUUAUUGGGCGUAAAGGGCUCGCAGGCGGUUUCUUAAGUCUGAUGUGAAAGCCCCCGGCUCAACCGGGGAGGGUCAUUGGAAACUGGGAAACUUGAGUGCAGAAGAGGA
rnacentral:rRNA from 1 species